GACGAACGCUGGCGGCGUGCUUAACACAUGCAAGUCGAACGGAAAGGCCCUGCUUUUGUGGGGUGCUCGAGUGGCGAACGGGUGAGUAACACGUGAGUAACCUGCCCUUGACUUUGGGAUAACUUCAGGAAACUGGGGCUAAUACCGGCUAGGAGCUCCUGCUGCAUGGUGGGGGUUGGAAAGUUUCGGCGGUUGGGGAUGGACUCGCGGCUUAUCAGCUUGUUGGUGGGGUAGUGGCUUACCAAGGCUUUGACGGGUAGCCGGCCUGAGAGGGUGACCGGCCACAUUGGGACUGAGAUACGGCCCAGACUCCUACGGGAGGGAGCAGUGGGGAAUAUUGCACAAUGGGCGGAAGCCUGAUGCAGCAACGCCGCGGGCGGGAUGACGGCCUUCGGGUUGUAAACCGCUUUCGCCUGUGACGAAGCGUGAGUGACGGUAAUGGGUAAAGAAGCACCGGCUAACUACGUG
rnacentral:rRNA from 1 species